rnacentral:rRNA from 1 species
GACGAACGCUGGCGGCGUGCAUAACACAUGCAAGUCGAACGGUAAGGCCCUUCGGGUACGACGAGUGGCGAACGGGUGGAGUAACACGUGGGUGGAUCUGCCCUCGCACUUCGGGAUAAGCUUGGGAAACUGGGUCUAAUACCGGAUAGGACCACGGUCUGCAUGGAUUGUGGUGGAAAGCUUUUGCGGUGUGGGAUGGGCCCGCGGCCUAUCAGCUUGUUGGUGGGGUGAUGGCCUACCAAGGCGACGACGGUAGCCGGCCUGAGAGGGUGUCCGGCCACACUGGGACUGAGAUACGGCCCAGACUCCUACGGGAGGCAGCAGUGGGGAAGU